rnacentral:misc_RNA from 1 species
GGAGAACGCACACAAGCACAGACGGGGCGGAUACAGCGAAGAGAGCCUUCUAAAAGGAAGAAGCGGCAGCACAAGCCGCGCACGCGCAUACAGAGCAUCCACACAUCCCAAACGCCAAGCGGGAAGUGAUAGCAUGGAAGCAGGGCAAGCGUCCUCGAGCGAUCUGGCGCCGUGGUGGUGGUCACACCGCAGCAUUGUUGAAGAGGCAGAGCCUCUCGACGCCACGGCCGACGACGCCGCCGCCAGCUGCCUCUCCGUCAUCGCCAAGCAGACAGCGAACCACGUUCUCGCCUACAAGAAUGACCUCCUGGCCCUGAUUGGGGAAGUGCACCCCGCGAGGAAGGGCAGUGCCGACAGCGUGUCCCAGCACAACAGGGACGUUGGCACCUGCGGCCUCUACCAACAAAUGAAGUGGGAUGGCGUCCUCCUGCCCCUUCUCACGCAGCUCCGGAAGUGCAUGGCCCGGGCCUGGGAGGAGCGCGCCGCCGAGCAGGCAGAGCAGGCCGCCGAUGAUACGACGCCGGCAUCGGCGGCGGGGGUGGCAAGAAGCGGUGCCAAGGUCAUGCCAACCGCCCACGUCGACGCCGUUCAGGCCCGCCGCCUGCGUGCGCUCCAGCAGCAGAUCUACCUCGCCUUCUUCAAGGCAGUCCUGCAAGGAUUCACAGACGGCGCCCGCGGCGCCACAGAGACGGGUGCAGGCACAAGCAACGCCGUAGCCGGUGAGGAAGAAUGCAGUGCGGACGUACAAGGCCGGGGGAGAUCCAAGACGGCAGACGUGGCGCCGGCAGCCCGCGCUCUGUCACUGCUGCUGGACAGUCUUCUCACUCAUGUUCUGAGUUUUGCGACCGCUGGCGCGGCGGCGGCAUCGCCACACGUGGAAGAAGAGGCGACAAAGUCCCGCCGCGGUCAGCAUCGCCGCGCCGUAGCUGCUACAGGCACUCACAUCGGCGACUGGCUCACUGGUAUGUUGCCGCUGUACCUGCGCGCUUCUUAUCAACAGCAGCAGCGUGCUCAUGAUGAUGUUACCGAGCAAGAGGAGGUCGCCUUGGCGUCUACAUCAGCUCCGCUGAUUCCUUCACCUGCUCUCUGCCUUGUGAGCUACAUCGGUGCCUUCGUGCAAGGGUCAGGACUGCAGCUUGUUUCCUCAGAGCAGGAGGAAUACCUGCCCUGUUUCACGCGCAAGGUGCACUCAGAGUUCAGUGAUCAGCUUCGAAGCUUCGUGCAGGCCGCGGUCGUACAGUCUGAGUAUGCUGCUGCUGGUGUGGCCAGCUCGGAUGCAGUGGCGGCGGCGGCGGCGCACAUUCGCUACGCCGGUGAUGUGUUGAAGGCCAUCAUCGACAUGCAGCUCUACAACGACGACAACGUCACGGAGGUGGGUGAGGACGACUGUACGAUCACCUAUGCUGCCGUUCCGCUCCCGCCGGCGCUGCGGGCACAGCCGCAACAGUCAGAAAUGCCAAUCAAGGUGGACUACAGCGUGGCCCCUCUGCUCGUCCUUACCUCCUACAAGGUAUGCGAGCAACUUCUUCGGCUGAUGAGCCGCUGGUGGGUCGCCUGCCAGCACAUGGCGCGGCACGCACGCAUGUCCGUGGCUGCGGCGGCGCCGCGUAUGGAAGAAGAGGGCAAUGUCGAGGGAGAAAAGCAGCAGCAGCAGGGAGCUGACGGUCCCACCAGUGGCAACGACACAAGCCGCCUCGCAGAGGUCGAGGAGGCUUGGAUGGGGCUGCGCAAGCAGGCCAUGGCUUUCACGCUCGUCCUCAGCACCUACGGCGAGACGACGCUCCUGAUAGCCCCGUACGCGGCCUUCCUCACGAACUUUUUCUUCACGCCUCCGCCGGACGACUCCGCGCCGCCUGCUGAGAAGCAGACGCCGCUUUCGUUGGAGGCAUGGAAAAGCUGCGUCCGUGAGCUGCACCGCGUCACGCACGCUACUCAGGACGGCGGCUACGCUCUCUUCACGCACACCACCUGUGGGGCACGUCGGCAGAUGCGCGUGCACCACCGCCACGCGCGGGACUGCACAUUUGCCACGGCGUGUUUCUCUCGUGUGAUGGGGUGCCUCAGCUACCCCUCAACGGGUGCGCAUGUGCCUGGGCAAGCCGCCGCAGCUGGAACGGAUCUCCAAUCCCACAGCACGGGGUCCCACAGUCUUCUUCCGCUUGCCUUCGCCGCACUUCAGCAGCCGCUGUCAGUGAUGCAGGAGUGCGUGUUUCAGCUGCUUCUCAGAGUGGGCAGUGUGGCGCUGGGUGUCCGUGUUGACGCGGUGGUGCGUGAAAAAGGCGGCGCAGGGGAUCCUGGCGCCACGCCAGACGCCUCCGACGCCGACCUCUCCACGCAGUCGCCCAGCAGCGACGCCGCCACCACCACCAGCGCCACGCGUGUCAACGCUCUGACGGAUGAGCUGCUGUCUGCGGUGCAGCUCGUCGAGCUGUACUUUCCUCGCCAUUACCGAGCCUUUUCAUGCCUGGAUCAGGCCAUGCAGUACGUGCUGGACCGCUUUCCGGAACUCGCCGGCGACAGCACGGCCGUAGAAGAGGCGGCGGACGGUGAUGUCGCGCGAAUGUGGGCAUCACCUCGCGCCCUCCCCGCAACGCUCGCGAGCUUCUUCGGCGCAGCGCUGGAUGAGGCCUGCGUCGCACGCAUGCGCAACACCGGUGACGAGGUGGCCACAAGCGAGCUCCUCAUGUUCUUUGCAGCCGUCUUCCGAACGCUGCCAUCCACGGUGCUACCUCGCCUGCGCGCUGCGCUGGCAACGUUUCUCGGCGAGGGUGGGUGUACUAUAAUCGAGUACCUGCGCCAUCACAUUGUCAAGCAGCAGCGCCACGGCCUCGCCGCCUUCUUUGUGCCGCCGCUGCGUGCUAUGGCUCUCGACUACGCCACCGCGGAGGACGUGGACGUGAGUCUUGCGCUGACAGCCAAAUAUCCCUCCGGCUGUGCAAUGGCCUAUGCAUGGGAGCUGCCGCGGCUGUACUUCUGGCGAGCCGAAGACACCCCAGUGGCGGAGUCGGCAUGGCACGCGCACAGGGCUGCUCAGCGGUAUCUGUGCGAGCUUGUCACGGCAGCGCCUGCCGCCAUCUCCACGUCUUCUGCCCCAUUCCUGGCCAUUCUGCAGGAGGCGGCAGCGGUGGCGAACGGGCGGUUUGCAGAGCCUCACGAGAGCGCCAAGAUGGCGUCGGGGCUGCUCUGGACGUGCAGCCUGGCGAUUGAUGUGAUGACGUCUGUGUUCUUCGGUAUGUGUCGCUGGUGUGCGCUACAGAUGAGCGUGUCGUCAUCGUCGCUGUCUGCGGAGGCGGCGGCGACGGUGAUUCAGCAUCUGUGCUAUCCGCGCCCGACGUCGGUGGCGUUAUUGUCGCCCCACGUUGUAGCGCAUCCUUUUCUUCUCUCUCUACGAGAUCGUGUCAAGGUGCAGCUGGGCAGCAAUGUGGCGGAGGCUGCUGAAUCAGAAGGCGCCGUCGCCAGCACAGAGAGCGCCGAAGCUGUGAGCUCGCCCGGUGUUGCGUAUCCGCCACCCGCGCAGCAGCAGCUGCGCAGCAGCCACCGCUGGCUCUCCUGGUUCUGGGCCUGCACGUACGAGGAGGUGGACUCCGCUGCACGUGUGCAGACGGCCGCGAAACGACUCCUGCGGGAGUUCUCCGUUCAGUGCGGGUCGCACGCGCCAACGAAGACGCUCCUCGGAAUCCGCGCGAUGGUGGAGCAGCUGAAAAGGGAGGGUGCGCCAGACAUGGCCGUGGCGGUGCACGAAUUGCGAGAGGCAGUCCGCGGUGACCUGCGCGCGUUGCUGUUGCAGCAACAGCAACGCGAAGCGUCAGAAAACGAGAACGCCACGACUGUCGCAUCCGCCGAGGACACGAAGGAGGCGACGAUUACGACGACCACGACCACCAGCUCCGCCGACGCUGCAGGAGCCGUCCUUAAGUCAGCCACACUGCGUGACUAUCUCGAUCAGAUGCACGAGGCCCUCGUUCAGCGUGCGCGUAUCUCGCCGGUGGACGGCGCUGUCAGCGCCGCCACGCUCGGUCAUCUCCUGCACGUUCUGAGCGACGCGCAUCUGCCCAUCACGAUGAGUGUGCAAGAGCGGCAGCGCAUGUGUCAGCGCUUCUUCUUCACGCUCGCGAACUCUCUAGCUGAGUGCACCCGCACCGAAGCGCUGUCCUCCGUGUGUUGUCUGCGGUGUGUCCUGCAAGAUAUUGUGCUGCCGUACAAGAAGAGUUUCUUGAUCGAAGCCAGUGCAGCGCGCGUAUAUUAUCGCUGCUUCUCCGACACGGAGGCAGACGCGUUCCGCAUGGUGCAGCAUAUGUGCGGCGACGUCAUCAUGGCUGUACAGAAGAUUGCGCUGCGAAACGGUAUUCUUGACGAGUGGAAGAUCGUGCUGGUGUUGCAGCACCUCGGUGAUCCGCUGUCGCUCGUGCGCAGCAUGGUGGAGAAGCUGCGCAGCACCGUAGAGAAGCUUAAGGCCCGGCGCAGGGGUGCCGUCAUGGACAUCAUCGCGCAGCAGCUGGCAGUCGUGGAGAAAAGCGCGGCACGCACCGACUGCGGCGUCGCCGAUGACGUUCACUGUCUCUUUACCCUUCACCCACGGCCAUCGUCCUCCUCUUCUCCCGCGGCGAGAGCGGCAGAAGGCCCCACGACCGCCUCGUCCGCCGCCGCCGCGCCAGUGGAACGUAGCAGCAGCGGCCGGAGAAAGCGCGGAGACCGUCGAGAGAGAGAGCAGCGCAACGAGAAGGACCGCAAGAAGAGCCGCGACGACCGUGGUGGUGGCGAUGGUGACGAGAAACCGUGGCAAAAGCCUCGAACGAAGGACAGCAAGCGGUAUCGUGCCGACUUCAAGCGCCCACGUCGCUGAGCAGCAGUACAGGGAGCCGCCCUGUACACGGGCGGGGGGACGCAAGUGGUGCUGUGGAAGGCGGCUCUCGUGUGUAAUGUGCGGGUGGGUGUAUGUGUGCCGGGAGGCGUCUCUUGAGAAGCUUCGGAACGCCGAGUAAACGGUGAGCGGUGCUCGGGUGGUUGGGUAGCUGUUUGGUUGUUCAUCUUGAGUGAACGAAUAAACACGAAGCGAGAUGACGGGCGGUUCGGGAGGUAGAGAGGCGCUGAAGAUGGAAGCCAAUGCAGGCGAUUCUGCAGCACGGCGGGCAGCUUCCCUCCCUCCGACCCUGCUGUCGUGUGUGGCAAGCGCCUCGCCUCCAUCUAUCCCCGCUCCCUCUCGGUCUGUCGUGGCUUGAAUAUGCCCUCUGCCAAAGGAAGCACAGAAAGCGUGGGGUGAGGGGGGCUGCACACGCGCGCGCACCCAUGCGCAAGCGCUGGUGGGGCUUGGAUGACAUAGGCGAUGCAAAAGACAACGGGAGGACACGGCCGUGGGAGGGCUAACGAAGCUGAUGGAGGAGGUUAGGGAAUGGGAGAUGGAGCAGAGGGAGAGAGGGGGGAGCAUGAGCGUACAGAAAGGGCGACCGCAACCAGCAGCAGCGGAAUGGUGAUGAGAGAUGUGUCGACUUUGUGCACCCCUCUCUCGCUUCGCACUCUUCCCUCCCCCUCCUUGCCCAGCUUUGCCGCAGGCGCGCCCUCAAACGCGCACAAGCAGCCUUUCCCUCAUGCUCGGCGGUUCCAGGCGCAUGUCCAUCAGUGAUCGCCAUCCUGACGUCGUGCCAUGCUCGCUCAAAUCGUCUCGCGCACUUACACUCUCUUACUCUCCAUCGAUUUCGCAUAUUACAAG